GGAAAUGGCCGAUGGCGGUCAUGAAGGGGCAGAAGGAGAUGCUGCAGAAUGAGCUUCUUUACACUGGAUCACUGUGACCUCCUCCUAGAUGCCAUAGCUUGCCCAGCUGAGCCGCCUGCAGGUGCAGAGCCAUAGCAAUGGGAUUGAGGGUAUCUCCAGAAAACAUGAUUGCAUCAAUACAGAGAAGAGCUCAGGAGGCCGGGUGUAACCUGCCGAUCGGGAGGAAGAGGAGCCAACCUCAUCACAGGCAUGGAGUGAGGAGAACUA